rnacentral:rRNA from 1 species
CUCAUGGUUUCACGGUAUUGCAAUGAGAACAAUUUAAAACCCUUAGCGAGAAUCAAGUGGAGGACAAGUCUGGUGCAGCACCCGCGGUAAUUCCAGCUCCACUAGCGUAUAUUAAAGUUGUUGCAGUUAAAAAGCUCGUAGUUGAACCUCUGUCUGGGGCUAGUUUUGGCUUUGGUCAGGCUAGUUCUAGGCAUCCGCCUACAAGACUUAGAGGGCAUUCAGUUGUUCACUAGGAGGAGUAGGCAUUUUACUUUGAAAAAAUUAGAGUGUUUAAGGCAGGCAAUCGCCCGCAUAUAUUAGCAUGGAAUAAUAGAAUAGGACACUUUUCCAUUUCGUUGGUUAUUGGAAUCGUGUAAUGAUUAAUAGGGACAGUUGUGGGCAUUUGUAUUUAAUUGUCAGAGGUGAAAUUCUUGGAUUUAUUAAAGACAAACUAACGCGAAAGCAUUUGCCAAGGAUGUUUUCAUUAAUCAAGAACGAAAGUUAGGGGAUCAAAGACGAUCAGAUACCGUCCUAGUCUUAACUAUAAACUAUUCCGACUCAAUGUUUGACUGGCUUAUAUAACCAGUUGAGCGUUGUAUGAGAAAUCAAAGUCUUUAGGUUCUGGGGGGAGUAUGGUUGCAAAGCUGAAACUUAAAGGAAUUGACGGAAGAGCACAACCAGGAGUGGAUUCUGCGGCUUAAUUUGACUCAACACGGGGAAACUUACCAGGUUAAAACAAUAGUGGGAUUGACAGUUUGAGAGCGCUUUCUUGAUUGGUUGGGUGGUGGUGCAUGGCCGUUCUUAGUUGGUGGAGUGAUUUGUCUGCUUAAUUGCGUUAACGAACGAGACCUUAACCUGCUUACUAGACUGGCGAUCAUCAAUCGUUAGCUCUUCUUAGAGGGACUUUGGUUGUUUUAACUCCAAGGAAGUUUGAGGCAAUAACAGGUCUGUGAUGCCCUUAGAUAUCCUGGGCCGCACGCGUCAUACAAUGACUAGUUCAGAAAGUUUUCUCCUGACCUGAAAGGGGAUGGGUAAUCUUGAUAAUACUAGUCGUGUUAGGGAUCGAUCUUUGCAAUUAUAGAUCUUGAACGAGGAAUUCCUAGUAAGUGCGGUUCAUCAGACCGUACUGAUUACGUCCCUGCUCUUUGUACACACCGCCCGUCGCUUCUACCGAGUGGGUGGUCCGGUGGGAUAAUUGAACUUCGCAGGUAACUGAGAGGAAAGAUUAUCAAACCUAUCCACCU